UAGUCCUAAACAUGCAAAGAUGAGGGAAGAGAUAAAACCCUUGGAGUUCCUUUCUUGAGAUCAUAAAGAUAAUUCAAGAUGCUCCUUUCCUUUGGAAUUAGAAAGCAACAAGCAAUCAAAAUAAAUAUUAUAUCCAACCUCCUAGGAUCUCCAUUUGGCUUGUCUCUCUUAACUUGACUACUCAUGACAAUGGUCCUUCUUACUAUCUCAAGUUGGGAUCCCUAUCACAC
rnacentral:lncRNA from 1 species